rnacentral:lncRNA from 1 species
ACGACAUAAGUAACACUUUUAAGGUAAAUGGACAACGCUUGAAAAUCUAUCUCGAGCCACAAAACAACCUGGUAGAGGAACUUGAUGUGAUUGAGUUCAUAGAAUUCUCACAUUAAGCUCUCAUAAGCUCUAGACAAUUACCUAACCCUUAACAUGCUCCACGAGUUUUGUUGUCUAUUUGGGUUGUGCAGGAUUUUGAGGCUUAAGAAGAGUGAGACCGAACAUGCAGGCCACAAGAGUGAAUGACUAUGUCAACAUCCAGCUUGGGGGAGGCACCCCCACGUGUAUCUUGAUAAGUAUUACUUUUCUUUCUUGGUUUUAUUUACUAGUAUUCGAAAUUAAAAAAAUGCAUAACCAUGAAACCAAACAAAGUUUUUCUUUUGAGUAACAUAUAAUAGUUUUGUAUAAUCCUAAGUUUUAAAUAAAAUAAAAAGAAAGUUUGAUCCAAGUCUAGGUAAUUGACAAACAUGAUAUGAGAAGGUCUGAGCUACUAUUUAACUUGUUCCAAGUUUUGCUAGAGUUCUAGAGAUUUUAUCUUUUGAAAAUCUAAAAAAUCAAAGAAAAAAAAUGAUGAGAUCCUAGAGUCUUAUAAGAUAUGAAUAUUAAAACUGUGGGCACUUGCUUUGUUCAAGCCAUUGUUAAUUCUUGUAGUUUUGGUUGAGAGAAUUAUCAUGCUCCAAAGAUUAAGGUCUUUUUGUUUUAAAAAUAUAAAAGAUUCACUCUUUUGAAGUAUUAUUGCAUUAGAGGCAUGGGACUAUGCAAAAAUUUGAUUCAAAAAAAAGAGUGAGACUAGAGGAAAAAAUGGACAAGUGUCCGAAGUAGAAUUAGGGGUACAAAGAUACCCACCUGAGUGGAAAAAAUGGACACGUGUCCGAUAGUAGAAUUAGGGGUACUUGGUGCCCGCUUGAAAAAAAAGAAACAAAAUGAUAGCCCAUGGUCCCUCUAAUAAGCAAUAUGCCAUUAAGAGAUGACAAACUUUUCAAAAAGGUUAAAGGUCUUGAUCUAGGAGUAUGACAUUCCUCUCCCUUGACUCCGAGCAUUGACAUAGCAAAAUGCAAAGUAAGUAUGCUAAAACUUUUAAAGCUCUACUUAUAUAUCUUUCGAGAAGAAGGCAAAUGCCUCAGUUUUAUUUUGCAGACUUAAAAGAAACUCCAGAACAAAGGUAAGACAGAAGAACUUGAGACAUAGUGCUUGACUUGAUCGUUCUGUUUUUCAAUCACUUAAGACCUUAGUGAUAACUUAAAAACC